GACGAACGCUGGCGGCGUGCUUAACACAUGCAAGUCGAACGGAAAGGCCCUGCUUUUGUGGGGUGCUCGAGUGGCGAACGGGUGAGUAACACGUGAGUAACCUGCCCUUGACUUUGGGAUAACAUCAGGAAACUGGGGCUAAUACCGGAUAGGAGCUCCUGCUGCAUGGUGGGGGUUGGAAAGUUUCGGCGGUGGGGGCUGGACUCGCGGCUUAUCAGCUUGUUGGUGGGGUAGUGGCUUACCAAGGCUUUGACGGGUAGCCGGCCUUGGAGGGUGACCGGCCACAUUGGGACUGAGAUACGGCCCAGACUCCUACGGGAGGCAGCAGUGGGGAAUAUUGCACAAUGGGCGGAAGCCUGAUGCAGCAACGCCGCGUGCGGGAUGACGGCCUUCGGGUUGUAAACCGCUUUCGCCUGUGACGAAGCGUGAGUGACGGUAAUGGGUAAAGAAGCACCGGCUAACUACGUG
rnacentral:rRNA from 1 species